GUCACUCGCCCGUGAGUGUCUCGUCAUAUCCGUAAACAGAAAACAGUUGCUCCGGCUACUUUGACUUGUUUGCUAUGGGAGCGGCAUAGGUUAGUUGUUACAACGUGCGAGAAAGGUCGACAUGGAGCAGCUGAAUCUCCACCUUCCGGGGAAUCACCCGUUUUUAACAAACGCCGAACAGAGGAGAGUCUGCUUGCAGAAAGAGAAAGCGACAGAGCUCGUGAUCGGCUUGGCUUUUCGGAGAUAGCGAGAACUGAGGGAUUUAAAAUGUUGUAGGCUAAAAGUGUGGCGGAGAUGAAGUUUUUAUUACUCAACAGCAUGUGGAUCAGCCCAUAUUAGAUGUUGGUUUUAAUCUAAAAUGUCAAAGAGUUCUUCAAACAGCUUUGCUUCAAGUUGUGUUGAACAUUUCCAAUCCGGUUUGAGUGAAUCUCACGUCACACUGAUCAAUGUCACAGACAGCACUCGCUCAAACCCUCUGUGGUCCGGGGGGAGGAGCGGCCAGCUCUCCGAUUCAGCUUUUGACCACCAGAGAAGCAGAACUAAUGACAACAUUAGUCCGCCUUUGUGUACGAGGCCACCGGAUAUGGAUUAACCAAGCAAGAAAUAAUCUAGGAUUCUACAGUAUGCAUGAAUAAGCACAUGGGGUUUUUAAAUGUUUAGUUUUCGCCCCAAAAUGUGUUUUCCUUUUCUCUUUUUGGACGAGAUCCUGCGCUUUGUGGCUCUGAAGAUGAAGAGGAACUCAAGCAAGUGUGCUACUCAUUAAAUCGUUGAUUUGUUUAAUCUGCAGACCUCACACCAGACAGCUUUUCCUCGUGUGACCUUGUCUCGCUCUUUCUGUGUCUCUUUGUCUUUCUCGUAUAAAGAGGUUUUGAGCAAGUAUUUGACACUGGAACACAAACCCUCCAGCCUGUGCUGUCUAAUUAAAGUGACAUUGGUUUCUCUGUCUGAUGUGUCUAAUGAUGUGUUCGGUCAGGUCUGUGGUCAGUCUACAGACUUUCACAGGCGUUAAAACACACUUUCCCAAACCGCACUCUAAAAAUGCUGGGUUUUGACCCAGCAGUUGGGUUAAAUGUUUGCCCAACCUGAUGGGCAGUUUAAUUCAACUCAACUAUUGUUUAAAAAUUACUGUAUUGCUUGCUUAAAAUGAACCUAAAAUAUGUUGGAAAUGAACAUUUAUUAAUACAUUUAAUGAAUAAUAAUUAAACAAUAAACAUUUAUUAAAUUGCUUAUUAAUACAUGUUCACCUUUUGAUUAUUAUUGUUGCCUCUAGUAAUUAUGUGUCUGAUUUUUAAUUUCCAACCUAUUUUGGGUUCAUUUUAAGCCAGAAAAAAAUUGUUUUAUUUAUUUUUAACCCAACUUGGGUU